rnacentral:rRNA from 1 species
AUUGAACGCUGGCGGCAGGCCUAACACAUGCAAGUCGAACGAGUGGCGGACGGGCGAGUAAAGUAUGGGAAACUGCCCGAUGGAGGGGGAGAACUACUGGAAACGGUAGCUAAAACCGCAUACCAUCAGAGGUGACCAGAUGGGAUUAGCAUGUUGGUUGGGUAACGGCUCACCAAGGCGACGAUCCCUAGCUGGUCUGAGAGGAGGACCAGCCACCCUGGAACUGUAACACGGUCCGAACUCCUACGAGAGACAGCAGUGGGAAGUAUUGCACAAUGGGCGCAAGCCUAAUGCAGCCAUGCCGGGUGUAUGAGUAGGGCCUUCGGGUUGUAAAGUACUAUCAGCGGGGAGACGUUACCCGCAGAAGAAGCACCGGCUAACUCCGUGCCAGCAGCCGCGGUAAUAC